AUUCCCCUAGUAACUGCGAGUGAAGCGGGAAAAGCUCAAAUUUGAAAUCUGGCGGCCUUUGGUCGUCCGAGUUGUAAUCUAGAGAAGUGUUGCCCGCGUUGGACCGUGUACAAGUCUCCUGGAAUGGAGCGUCAUAGAGGGUGAGAAUCCCGUCUUUGACACGGACUCCCAAGGCUUUGUGGUACGCUCUCAAAGAGUCGAGUUGUUUGGGAAUGCAGCUCAAAAUGGGUGGUAAAUGCCAUCUAAAGCUAAAUACAGGCGAGAGACCGAUAGCGAACAAGUACCGUGAGGGAAAGAUGAAAAGAACUUUGGAAAGAGAGUUAAACAGUACGUGAAAUUGCUGAAAGGGAAACGCUUGAAGUCAGUCGCGUCGGCCGGGAAUCAACUGUGCUCUUGCGCGGUGUACUUUCCGGUCGAUGGGUCAGCAUCAGUUUUGGCCAGCGGACAAAUUCAGUCGGAAUGUGGCUCCCUCGGGAGUGUUAUAGCCCUCUGUUGUAUACGCUGGCUGGGACUGAGGAACUCAGCAUGCCGCAAGGCCGGGUCUUCGGACCACGUUCAUGCUCAGGAUGCUGGCAAAAUGGCUUUAAUCGACCCGUCUUGAAACACGGACCAAGGAGUCUAACAUGCUUGCGAGUGUUUGGGUGGAAAACCCUUGCGCGUAAUGAAAGUGAAAGUUGAGAUCCCUGUCGUGGGGAGCAUCGACGCCCGGACCUGAAGUUUACUGACGGACCCGCGGUAGAGCACGUAUGUUGGGACCCGAAAGAUGGUGAACUAUGCCUGAAUAGGGUGAAGCCAGAGGAAACUCUGGUGGAGGCUCGUAGCGAUUCUGACGUGCAAAUCGAUCGUCAAAUUUGGGUAUAGGGGCGAAAGACUAAUCGAACCAUCUAGUAGCU
rnacentral:rRNA from 1 species